AUUGAACGCUGGCGGCAGGCCUAACACAUGCAAGUCGAACGAGUGGCGGACGGGUGAGUAAUGUCUGGGAAACUGCCUGCUGGAGGGGGAUAACUACUGGAAACUGUAGCUAAUACCGCAUACCAUCAUAUGUUCCCAGAUGGGAUUAGCUUGUUGGUGGGGUCACGGCUCACCAAGGCGACCAUCCCUAGCUGGUCUGAGAGGAUGACCGGCCACACGGGAACGGGGACACGGUCCAGACCCCUACGGGAGGCAGCAGUGGGGAAUAUUGCACAAUGGGCGAAAGCCUGAUGCAGCCAUGCCGCGUGUAUGAAGAAGGCCUUCGGGUUGUAAAGUACUUUCAGCGGGGAGGCGUUACCCGCAGAAGAAGCACCGGCUAACUCCGUGCCAGCAGCCGCGGUAAUUC
rnacentral:rRNA from 1 species